AUUGAACGCUGGCGGCAGGCCUAACACAUGCAAGUCGAACGAGUGGCGGACGGGUGAGUAAUGUCUGGGAAACUGCCUGAUGGAGGGGGAUAACUACUGGAAACGGUAGCUAAUAACGCAUACCAUCGGAUGUGCCCAGAUGGGAUUAGCUAGUAGGUGGGGUAAAGGCUCACCUAGGCGACGAUCCCUAGCAGGUCUGAGAGGAUGGGCAGCCACACUGGAACUGAGCCACGGUCCAGACUCCUACGUGAGGCAGCAGUGGGGAAUAUUGCACAAUGGGCGCAAGCCUGAUGCAGCCAUGCCGCGUGUAUGAAGAAGGCCUUCGGGUUGUAAAGUACUUUCAGCGGGGAGGCGUUACCCGCAGAAGAAGCACCGGCUAACUCCGUGCCAGCAGCCGCGGUAAUUC
rnacentral:rRNA from 1 species